rnacentral:rRNA from 1 species
UGGGGAAUUUUGGACAAUGGGCGAAAGCCUGAUCCAGCAAUGCCGCGUGUGUGAAGAAGGCCUUCGGGUUGUAAAGCACUUUUGUCCGGAAAGAAAUCCUUGGCUCUAAUACAGUCGGGGGAUGACGGUACCGGAAGAAUAAGCACCGGCUAACUACGUGCCAGCAGCCGCGGUAAUACGUAGGGUGCAAGCGUUAAUCGGAAUUACUGGGCGUAAAGCGUGCGCAGGCGGUUUGCUAAGACCGAUGUGAAAUCCCCGGGCUCAACCUGGGAACUGCAUUGGUGACUGGCAGGCUAGAGUAUGGCAGAGGGGGGUAGAAUUCCACGUGUAGCAGUGAAAUGCGUAGAGAUGUGGAGGAAUACCGAUGGCGAAGGCAGCCCCCUGGGCCAAUACUGACGCUCAUGCACGAAAGCGUGGGGAGCAAACAGGAUUAGAUACCCUGGUAGUCCACGCCCUAAAACGAUGUCAACUAGUUGUUGGGGGAUUCAUUUCCUUAGUAACGUAGCUAACGCGUGAAGUUGACCGCCUGGGGAGUACGGUCGCAAGAUUAAAACUUAAAUGAAUUG